rnacentral:lncRNA from 1 species
UCAAGCACAAAUUUGAAAGAGGGAAAAUAGAGUGUGGAGAAAUAUUUUGAGCAAAAUUAUAAAUAGCUGCUCAACUCACUUUUUCAGGAUGAGUAGCAAUUGACUACAGGUGAGAAGAAUUAUGGUCCUGUGUCUGGAAAAGAUGCAUUGAGAUGGUGUUUCUUGGCUCAAAGAUACAGUGAUGGCUCUGCCCAAGGAGAAGUGAAAGAGCUUCUGGAAGGAGAUAGGAUGGGAGGUAAUGGAAGUGAGCCCCAGCAGGGACAUGAGGAUAUCCCUUCCAAAUUGGUGAAGGAAGCUUUCAGGGUGCUUGAAGAACCCAGCAUGCUCACACGCCAACAGCUAGGAUGUUUCAAGAGAGGUCCUGGCAAGCCACUACCAACCGGAAGAGUUCAGAAAAGGUUGCAAGGAGAUGCCACGUGUGCUUCCACCUCCCAGAAUCCUUCUCGCUGGCAUCUAUCUUGACUGAGCAAUGCAUGCACCACCAGUCAGAACAAUUGGCCAAAGACAACCCAGAAACUAAUCCCACCACCAUAAAGCCUGAGAUUCCGAACCAGGGGGAAGAGCAACUCUCCUGGGUUUCUUUACCCUGCUGCUCUCUGCCGGGGUGCCCCUUCC